AGGAGGGAAGGACACAGCCAUGUGCUUAACUUGGCACCAUUCUUAAGGAAGCCUUUCGGCUUCAAACUGAGAGCCUGCCUGCUUCUCAGAGGCCCCGCUUCUGAGACUCCAUCCUGCUUUUCCCUGAGACCCUGUCCACUUCCCGCUCCCUAUCCACAUCUCAUUAAGGUCCAUCCCACCUCUUGUGGAAGACACCCAGAGGACCCCUUUCUCUGGAGUUUUUUGUUUUGUUUUGUUUUUUGGUUUUUCAAGGGUUUCUCUCUGUAGUCUUGGCUGUUCAGGACUCGACUUGUAGACCAGGCUGGCCUCGAACUCACAGAGAUCUGCCUUGCCUCUGCCUCCCUGAGUGCUGGGACUAAAGGCGUGUGUCCUUGCCCAGCUCUCUGAACGUUCUUUGCACCCUUGCCCACAGUGGGGACACUUUGUUGUCAGUGGAAUCACAGCAGCCUGUUCUUUUGAGAAAACCAAAUCCUGGCAAGAAGGGACUGGCAGUGGCUAGUGCCGAGGUUUGGGGGUCCUGCCAGAUACGAGGUCUCAGUAUCCCUCUGUAGUUCUUUUUAUUGCCGCAGGACUGCAGGGAUGAGGCUCCUGUGCAUGUGUCAAGUGUAGGUACAAGCGUGAGGUGUAGAAGUCAGUACCGGUUAGACUCCAGCAUGAUGAACACUCGGGAAGGGCGGAGAUGGCCUGACAGUAGUGACCACAGGGGAUUGAGUUUCCCUAGUGAGGAUGGGUGCAGCCCUGAAUUGGGUCUGGAUGGUUUUUUCUUAUCUUUUCUUUUUUAACAAAUGGUGGGGCUGUAGCCAUCAAGAUCCCAAGGCUCUGGCUUGGAGCUGACGGGUGAGCGGGAGAGUACCAGCUAUGAGCGCAUGUUAUUGUGGAGCAUGGAGGAAAGCCCACGGUGACUUCUGGAGGCCAUUAGCUUGUCCCAGAACUAGCUGUUCCACUCAAGUGUUGAGCAAGCCAUUUUCAGCUGAGAGCAGAGAUGCCUUAAAGAUGGUGGCAUGGUGCUUAGGAGAGGAGCCGGUAUUUGGAAAUACUAGGGCGUCGUCUUGGGGCAGAGUGCUAGGCUCCAUCACGUGCACAGAGGUUCCCUCUACCGCAGGGCUAAUGCUGUCAUUGUUAGGACCACCCACCAGGAAUCCUAGCUGGACAUACCUCAGUCCUAUAGUGGCCUCACCUUCUCCAGUUCUGGACUACUGCAGAUCUGUGGGAUUGUGACUCGUGAAGCCAUGGAAAGUGCAAUUCCAAAUAAAACUGGUGGAGUGUG